GGGGAUGUAAUGGUUUCGACAGGAUUAUGCGAAACUAGAUUGCAAGUCGUAGGAAUACGAAAAAUUCAUAAAAUAUCUGGAAACAGAAACGCUUUAGCUUUUGCUUAGUUUAAGUGCAGAAGCAUUCUAAUAUAAUUUUUGUUUGCGAAAUUUUAUUAGAAUUCAUAUUUAGCAAACUAUAUUAUUUCAUUGUUUAGGUGAAGUAACGAAUAUUACUAAACUAGCUAUAUAUUUGUUUGUUAAUUAGCUUAUUAUAUAGUGAAAUUUAUUAAUUAACUAAGCUUGUAGUGGUCUAGUUAUCAGUAAUUUUGGACAGGAGUUCGAUUCUCCUCAUCUCCACCA
rnacentral:tmRNA from 1 species